rnacentral:snRNA from 1 species
GGAUGUGAGGGUGAUCUGGCUAUGACAUCUGUCACCCCAUUGAUCACCAGGGUUGAUUCGGCUGAUCUGGCUGGCUAGGCGGGUGUCCCCUUCCUCCCUCACUGCUCCAUGUGCGUCCCUCCUGAAGCUGCGCACUCGGUCAAAGAGGACGACCUUCCCCGAGAGAGGAGGACCGUUCUUUGGUCAAGGGUAUACGAGUAGCUGAGCUCCCCUGCUAGAACCUCCAAACAAGCUCUCAAGAAAAUACAUGCCCCAAACUUUUGUCAACAUUAAAAUGCAAUGCUGGGUUCAUUCAAUUAGCAUACACAAUAUUAUAAACCUCAGGUUAAAAUUGGAUUAAAUACUGA